rnacentral:rRNA from 13 species
AUAGGUGGGAGACUUUGAAGCGGCCGUUCUGGCGGUCGUGGAGUCAUCCUUGAAAUACCACCCUUUACCUAUUUGUGUGCUAACCCCGAUUCCCGUGAAGCCGGGCGGGGGACAGUGAGUGCUGGGUAGUUUGACUGGGGCGGUCUCCUCCGAAAGAGUAACGGAGGAGCGCAAAGGUUAGUUCAGCGCGGAUGGAAACCGCGUGUUGAGUGUAAGAGCACAAGCUAGCUUUACUGCGAGAGCGACGGCUCGAGCAGUCUCGAAAGAGGGCUCUAGUGAUCCUGCGAUCCCGCGUGGAAGGGUCGUAGCUCAUCGGAUAAAAGGUACUCUGGGGAUAACAGGCUGAU